GCUCGUGUGCCAAUCCUGUUGCAGUAGUCUUGUCCCAAAAUCCUAUCUUUAAUGGCUGAUUUUUGUACAUGACCAACUUCUUAGUUGCUAAUUCUCACUCCUCACGUUGUUCGCAGUUUUUCAUUAUUUGAGAGUAGAAAGGGAAAUUUAGACCAAAUAGACUUAUCCACUCUAAAGCUAUCCUCGAUGGUUAUUAUCAAAAAAUAGACUCCCUCAUUUCCUUCAAUUAUCUAGCACUGUACUUCUGGUUUUUCUCGAUCCUUUAGUUUUCAUUGUCUACUAGUUUGUUUACGAAGAAAGUAGUUUUGGAGUUUUCAUCUUAUAGUAUGCUGAUUAAGUUGAAGAACUUUAUUGAAGAAUAGGAUAGACUGAUAGUUGCUCCAGAUGUGAAAUAAGUAUUGGGCACCUUCUGUGUUGCAGCUGAACUAGGAAGUGGUUGUCUUGGAUCAUAUGUGAUUUCCAUGGCCUUAUGGCCUCUAAUUCUUGCCAUUUCCCAGGCUGCUGGGAUGUCAGUGGGUUGGGUUAACUGGUAAACCCGCACUGAUCCCAAAUAUAGGUCGGAUUAGUCUUAAUCGGGUUUCAUGUUGAGGUGGUGAGUGAACUUGCAGAUGUGCAUUGUCCUAUUUUGGAGAUGUUUACAGAAUCCACAGUUGCUCGAGUUGGAAUAAGUAUACAAAGGGCCAUAUAGCUUGUAGUGACUAUGAGGGAAGUUAGUAGAAAAACAGGCCCGCCUUGUCACCAUGUCGAAAGGAAGCUCAAGAGCUGGAAACUGCAGUCAUGGAGAUGGUCAAGCAGGAUAAUUGUUGACAAAUGAGUGCAAGGGUGGAGCAGUUGGAGAAAGAGAUAGCAGAGCUACGGCAGGCCCUAUCAGAUAAACAGGAAUAAGAGUGUUCCAUGCUUCAGGUCCUAAUGCGGGUGAGCAAGAGCAAAUGGUAACAGAGGAUGCUCGCAGAUUAGCGGAAUAAGAUGCAGCUACUCGGAGAUAUGCUGCCAACGUGCUUCAGAUGGGAAUGCAGUAGAUGGCUUCCCUUUAUCGUAUGAGGAGGAUAAAAAAUCUUGCAGUUGGAAGAAAAUUGAGACUGUACCUACUUUGCCAUAUUUCUGAAGUUCCAGGAUGUCAAUACAAGGUACUUAUGAACAAGAGAAGGAGCUCAGAUGCUGAGAAGUACAUACACUAUGGGAUUACGGGUUCAGUACAACUGGAAGAGGUCCUUGCUCUGAUGGGACCCUCAGGUGGUGGUAAAACGACUUAAUCUCCUCAGUGGAAGGGUGACAGGAUUGGUUUUGUGAUGCAAGAUGAUGAUGUUUUUCCUCACCUCACAGUAAAAGAGACUCUAACAUAUGCUUCUCUUCUACGUCUUCCCAAAGCACUUACCAAACAACAGAAAGAAGAAAGAGCCAUGAAUGUUCUAACUUCUAAGAGAACUCGACCUUGAACGGUGACUUCUCAACUUUGUCUGUUAAGAUUAAUGUGGUAUUAGGUAAAAGUUCAUUAGUUGCAGAAUUCAUUUAUUGAUAUGAGAAUGCUAAAUUAUGAUGCCUCCACAAAUGCCUUGUUUUUAUACAUUUUUUAUGGACAUCUCAUUGACUUUACAGUUUACAUUCUCUAACAAUUUAUAUGUUAGAGAAUAUGUGUUACAAUAUUCGAUGUGGAUUUGUUGCACGUCCAUAAUGGUUGCAGGUCCAACCAUUAUGUUAGGUGGAUUUGCAUUGAAAUAUGUGUUACAAUAUUUGAGAAAUUGAAUUUUUUGAAGUCCUUGUAUUUUUUAUAUGUCAAAUGGAUAUUGUAUCUAGAUCUGAUCUGGCGGUUCAGACCACCGCCCAAAGAACCAGAAGAUGUUGGGCAAAACCUAAUUUGGCAGUUAACUAGGAUUAAAACCGUUUUUCUUAUAGUGAAUAUUCUGAGUUUAAUUGCACCUCUGAAGUUUCGGUCAGCCUGUUUCAGUGUAUGUGUGAUCUGUUUUACACGUAUGUAAGACAUUUGUCACAAACUGAACAGAACAAUUGUAGAUCGCAUGUCCAACAAUCCUCGUAGCAGUUUCAGUCGUUAAUUGAAAGAUCUCUAUCUUGUCAUUCAUAGAGAUAUGUUGGUCUGAGGAGCAAAACUGUUUCGGCGAGUAUGGAUUCAGCCCACACAAAACUGUCCUUACACCGUAUUCAUAGCCUUUUUGUAGCAGUGCAUCGGGAAUGACUCCGGAUCUCUUGCCCGCAGGAACUCUGCUCACAAGUCACAUCUACCCACAACAUAUCACCUCCAUGCAUUUGGAACAUCUUAUAUAGGAGGAUGAGAUGUUCCCACUUCUGGCUAUAAUGUUAUGUGGGUAGACGUAGACAGUUCUUAUGUGCAGGAGAUCUGAAUUCAUUGAAAAAACUUAGUAUUUAUAUGUUUAGAUUGGAAGGGAGAUAUUCCCAAUGCAAAGCUAGUAAGUUGCUGUGACUUUGUGAGCAGUGUGAAAGCGGUUCUACGAGUACUUAAUCUGAAUUCCUAGGAGGCGAGGGGUCUUUGUCUAUAGACGCUCACAGGGCGGUCAUCAACCCUAAGUAACUAUAUUUUUCAGAAAUUUAAAAUAUCAGUUUGGAAAGAGUAGAAUUUUACAGAUAUAUACCGUGAAAAUACAAGGUUUAGAAAUAAGGAAUGCAUCACCUGAACAACUGUAAACUUUUUGGAAAGCAUUUUUGUUUAUGGAUGCUUUCCAACAAAGGACAAAGCCCUUAAUGAUAUCUGAUUAUGGUUUUGUUGGAUUGUAAGGCACUCUCCUAAUGAAUAAAAGUAUUAAAACCCACAAACUUCUCACUGAAUUGAAUCAUGAUGAUUCAAAUAAAGCAAAAGACGAGUUGAAUCCAAUUAGCAUCUUACUAUUCAACCUUUAACAUGAAUUCACAAGAUAUAUAUAAGAGAGAGAGAGAUCUUACAAACACUUCUCAGUGUUUCAACAACUCUCGUUACACGAAAAUUUGAAAAGUAGAAUAUGGAUUAGCCAUUUUGGAAUUGGGAUUUGUCGAAGAAUCCCUUUAUUGUAUAUAAAGAAAACUAGAAAAGUGAAAGUAUAAAAGCUAAAGCUUAGCUAAAACGGAGGUGGAGGACCUGGUGGCCUCCGAGGAGGUGGAGGGGCGAACGGAUCCAAGUGUGGCGGAGGAGGAUGUGGUCCCGGUGGUGGUGGUGGACCGAAGGGACCUGGCGGACCUGGUGGUGGCGGAGGACCCUGAGGACCUGGUGGUGGUGGUGGAGACGGCCCGGCUGGCCCUGGAGGUGGCGGUGGUGGUGCAAAAGGAGCAGGUGGUGGAGGGUGUCGAUGAUGGGCCAUGAUAAAGAGGGGGUGCAAAAAUGCUUCUGGGAAGA